rnacentral:rRNA from 1 species
GGACGAACGCUGGCGGCGUGCCUAAUGCAUGCAAGUCGCACGGGCCUCCUUCGGGAGGUCAGUGGCGAACGGCUGAGUAUCACGUACGAAUCUACUCCGGUGUGGGGGACAACACGGCGAAAGCCGUGCUAAUCCCGCAUACGCUCCCAGGAGGAAAGCGUGAGCAAUCACGCGCACCGGAAUGAGCGUGCGGCCCAUCAGGUAGUUGGUGUGGUAAUGGCGCACCAAGCCCGUGACGGGUAGCUGGUCUGAGAGGACGAUCAGCCAGACUGGGACUGUGACACGGCCCAGACUCCUACGGGAGGCAGCAGCAAGGAAUUUUUGGCAAUGGGCGCAAGCCUGACCAAGCAACGCCGCGUGCGGGAUGACGGCCUUCGGGUUGUAAACCGCUUUUAUGGGGGAAGAAUCAGACGGUACCCCAUGAAUCAGCCCCGGCUAACUCUGUG